AUGCCCAGCCCCAUGAUACUGAACAGGCAGGGGAACGAGGAGACCAGCCACCCCAAACAAGCUCCUGUCCCCCUGGGACCCUCCCAUGUCCCCCAGCCCCCAGCCAGCUCCGUUGGUGCCACCCCGCUCCCGGGGACCAACAGGGCUGGCACCUCCCCGGGACCCCAAAUCCUUCCUCCGGGUCGGUGCAGAGGAAGGGGAUACUGUGACAGCAUGAGUGGUGGGAUCGGCAGGGGUACAUACACACUCACACCACACACACAGAAUUGGGGGGACCAGUGUCACCCCCUGGCUCUGCCCGCCCGUGCAGAACAGCCCCCAUCUCCCCCCAGCACCCCCAGCAGUGACACCGCCACCCCCGACAGCCGCAGCACCAUCACUGCUUUUGUGGGGCCGGUGAGGUUCUGGAUGAGGCCCUGGCCCUGCUACGGGGUGCCCCGGCUGCCUCGGGCUGGACCGUUUGCCUUUGACCAGGAUCAGGCCCCCAGCCGUGUUUAUUCAUUUAUUUUUGCCUCCCCCCACCCCCCGCACCCCAAAGAGCUGGGUUUGCUGCAGGUGGGGCCCUGCCUGUCCGUCCGUCUGCUUUGGGCACCGGGCAGGGGGACAAACAGCAUGGCAAGGGGGACAAGGAGGCUGUGGGGGGCUGUGAGCGGGGAUUUGGAUGGACACCCCCAUUUCUCCUUGUCUGCCCCCUGCUCCUUCCCCCUUUUCACCACCCCGUCCCCACAGCGCAGGACCACCCGUCCCCUCUCUGCCGUGUCCCUCUCGCAGCUCCGUCCUCUCGGUGCAUUUCUCCAGUUGCCGUUUUGCAAUUCACGGGGAAGAAAGAGGGGGCACAGACCCACGGGCAGCCACCGGGGCAGGACCGCCGAGCCCUCCUGCCCCCCAGCAAUGUCCUUAGGGCUUGGCACAACGGGGGUGAGGAGCUCUUCGCCCCGUGGCAUGGUGGCAGGUGCCACCUCUGCUUGUCCCCCUGCCACCCGUCCCUGCGAGGGGGUUUGCAGGAGAGCAGCACCCGUCUGUCCACCCCUACGGUCCUGCCGGUGGCGAGAGGGGACCAAGGAGACGUUUCCCCCAGUCCUUCCCCAUCGGUGCCACGCGUCCCGUGCCGCCGGUCACGUCUGCUGCGGCAGGUGGCAGGUCUCGCCGAUGGCGAUGGCCACGUCGUGGGGCUGGCGGUCCCGGCGCCGCGGCGCCUCGGGCCCCUCGCCCAUCUCGUUGAGGCUGCUGCUGAUGCAGUUGACGUCGCUUUUGUUGCUGUUGUCGUCCGGGCUGGGGCCGAAGAUCCAGUCUGGGGACGGAUUGGGGAAAAGCACAAAACGAGCCCUUGGUUAUUUUGGGGUGUUCCCAUGUCCAAAACCCAGCGUGCCCAUUAGGAAAUCCUCCAUCCCCAUCUUCCAUCACAUCUGUCACUCCGGGUGCUAA
ensembl:lncRNA